GUCCAGCCGCCGCGGUAAUACGAAGGGACCUAGCGUAGUUCGGAAUUACUGGGCGUAAAGGGCGCGUAGGCGGUCUUUUAAGUUAGGCGUGAAAGCCCCGGGCUCAACCCGGGAACUGCGCUUAAUACUGCUAGUCUUGAGUUCGAGAGAGGUAAGUGGAAUUCCGAGUGUAGAGGUGAAAUUCGUAGAUAUUCGGAGGAACACCAGUGGCGAAGGCGGCUUACUGGCUCGAUACUGACGCUGAGGUGCGAAAGCGUGGGGAGCGAACAGGAUUAGAUA
rnacentral:rRNA from 1 species